GAAGACAAUAAGCUUAUGAUAUCAGGGAUUUGUUUAAAACGAGAAACUCCAGUUAAAUUUUCUGCCUCUAACAAAACUGCACAGAAAUUAUGUAUUAUCUGAGAGAUACCCUAAGGUAUCACAGGACCCUAAAUCAUCAAAAUAAAAUUGAUUUAUGUUUGGCAUUUUGUUUCCGAGCCGGGAAAGUGAAGUGGUUCAAUUUAGAAAGGUUUUGCUAAACUGGUAGUUAAAACAGUAAGAGUUUUCUUGUAAGUAGUCAAUUAACCAGGAGGUUGGAGCAUUCUGGUUAAUUGUGACUUUGCUAUAUAUUGAUAUUUUAUAGCUCUUUUACCAGUUGGCUCUCCUUAUCAUUGAAUUAUUGAGUUAAAAUGUUUGGUAGUUGGAUCUAUUCAGCAGGACACUUGAAAACUCACCAGCUGUCUUUAAAAGCUUGUUUUUUGUUUUUGUUUUGUUUUUUCACCAGCUGUUUUGGAGAAAGGGAUGUUUACAUCUUAAUGUAAAAAAUGAAAACAGGUAUAAAUAAUGUCUUAUGUAUAGAAAUGCUUUCUUUCAUUAUUUGGUGCCUGCAAUUUCUGAGUAUUUAUAUAACUUCCCUGCCUCUAUCAUGUUGUUGCCAAAGAAACUAUGAAUUUGGAACGAAAAAUUUUUGCCCUGAGUGUAAAGAAGUCCUUCAGCUCUUGAGAGAAAAUCCCUCAGGCCUCUAAUGUGUGUGGCGUUUAUACCGCACUUUUACCUCCAGGAGCAAGUCUGCCUUCAGCUAAUCAUGACUUGUAGUGUGGGAGUGGUGACUGUCCUCCUGCUGUGAAGGAGGGAACUCAGGCAAUCAGAUCAUAAUGACUCACCCCAGGGGCCACGGAGCAAAGCACACACAUCUUCCAAUCUCUUAGUCCUGGGCUCCUCCACUAGAGUGGAAACCUAAAGAUAACUAAGAUUAUAUUCAGGGAGUCUGUCUGCCCUUGGUAAGAUCAAGGAAUUGGGGACUUCUUAAAAUAAUGAGCUCAGGCCUGCUAUUGUCAAAUUUAGGUGUAUACAAUAACAUUAAUGAAAUAUGAACAGAAAGGGGAGAAAAGACCAAUGGAAAUGGAAGGAAGGGUGAACACUGUGCUUUUAUUAGCUGUAAAAUUGGACUCUUGAACUUCCUGGAAGUCAAGGCUUGAAGAAGGGAAUCAAGUUUCACAUCGCCCUAGCUCUGUCUGUAAGUCAAAGCAAACAGGUCCUCAGGGCAGACCUCUUCCAGACGGUUCUGGUGGCAGUGCUGGCACUGGGGGGUCCUGUGAAAUGCUGCAAUGAACAAAUCCUCAGCAGUUUUAUGCAUAUUUGCAUGCGAUGAUUGUGCCUUGGAUCCUCAACUUUAACCAGCUUUCAAAGGCUUUCUUUUCAGGGUGUUUUUUGGUGUGGCUAAUAGAGGAUUUGUUCCCAUAAGUAAG
rnacentral:lncRNA from 1 species